AGAACGAACGCUGGCGGCAGGCUUAACACAUGCAAGUCGAACGCAUCCUUCGGGGUGAGUGGCAGACGGGUGAGUAACGCGUGGGAACAUGCCCUUCAGUUCGGAAUAACCCAGGGAAACUUGGGCUAAUACCGGAUACGUGCGAGAGCAGAAAGAUUUAUCGCUGAAGGAGUGGCCCGCGUCUGAUUAGCUAGUUGGUGAGGUAAAGGCUCACCAAGGCGACGAUCAGUAGCUGGUCUGAGAGGAUGAUCAGCCACACUGGGACUGAGACACGGCCCAGACUCCUACGGGAGGCAGCAGUGGGGAAUAUUGGACAAUGGGCGCAAGCCUGAUCCAGCCAUGCCGCGUGAGUGAUGAAGGCCUUAGGGUUGUAAAGCUCUUUCGGCGGGGACGAUAAUGACGGUACCCGCAGAAGAAGCCCCGGCUAACUUCGUGCCAGCAGCCGC
rnacentral:rRNA from 1 species